rnacentral:rRNA from 1 species
GACGAACGCUGGCGGCGUGCUUAACACAUGCAAGUCGAACGAUGAAGCCUAGCUUGCUAGGUGGAUUAGUGGCGAACGGGUGAGUAAUACGUGAGUGACCUACCUUUGACUCUGGGAUAAGCCUGGGAAACUGGGUCUAAUACCGGAUACGACCAAUCUCCGCAUGGGGUGUUGGUGGAAAGCGUUAUGGAGUGGUUUUAGAUGGGCUCACGGCCUAUCAGCUUGUUGGUGAGGUAAUGGCUUACCAAGGCGACGACGGGUAGCCGGCCUGAGAGGGUGACCGGCCACACUGGGACUGAGACACGGCCCAGACUCCUACGGGAGGCAGCAGUGGGGAAUAUUGCACAAUGGGCGCAAGCCUGAUGCAGCGACGCCGCGUGAGGGAUGACGGCCUUCGGGUUGUAAACCUCUGUUAGCAUCGAAGAAGCGAAAGUGACGGUAGGUGCAGAGAAAGCGCCGCU